UACGAAGGGGGCUAGCGUUGUUCGGAUUUACUGGGCGUAAAGGGCGCGUAGGCGGCCAGCACAAGUCAGUUGUGAAAUCUCCGAGCUUAACUCGGAAAGGUCAACUGAUACUGUGCGGCUAGAGUGCGGAAGGGGCAACUGGAAUUCUUGGUGUAGCGGUGAAAUGCGUAGAUAUCAAGAGGAACACCUGCGGCGAAGGCGGGUUGCUGGGCCGACACUGACGCUGAGGCGCGAAAGCCAGGGAGCGAACGGG
rnacentral:rRNA from 1 species